rnacentral:rRNA from 1 species
UACGAAGGGGGCUAGCGUUGUUCGGAAUUACUGGGCGUAAAGGGCGCGCAGGCGGUCCUUCAAGUCAGGCGUGAAAGCCCCGGGCUCAACCCUCGGAUGCCGGUGGAUACUGUCGGGCUUGAGUACGGAAGAGGCGAGUGGAAUUCCUGGUGUAGCGGUGAAAUGCGCAGAUAUCAGGAGGAACACCAAUUGCGAAGGCAGCUCGCUGGGACGUUACUGACGCUGAGACGCGAAAGCGUGGGGAGCAAACAGG